GUAUGUCGCGAUCUCGAUCCUCCGGAGCCGAGACAGGUACAUGUUGGAAGAGAAUUCCCGCUCCAGCUCCAGGAGCUGCGUGCUGGUGAACGCCGUCCUCACCCUCUUGCCAUUGGGUACCUGGCUGGCGUCCGAGCCCCCUGCAGACCGGCCAAGAGAGGGCAGAGAGGGCACUUCUUUACUCGGCGGGGAAGGACAGAGACGCCCACAGCAAGUGAAGGCCUUUGAUGUGUUCGGCGAUGCAGCCAUCACAGACGCUCAGCCUCAAGCCAGCCUGCCUGCCUACCCGCCCUCGCUCGUGUCAGGAGAACGCAGGUAGUCCCAGGAUCACUCCAGUCCCAAGAAGAAUGGAAGCUCAACCACUAAGAGAUGCUUAAAGGCUGGGUGUUUUUUUUACAGGCCUGAAUUGUCC